AGUUCGAUUAUGGCUCAGAUUGAACGCUGGCGGGAUGCUUUACACAUGCAAGUCGAACGGCAGCACGGACUUCGGUCUGGUGGCGAGUGGCGAACGGGUACAGGUAAUGUAUCCGGAACGUGCCUAGUAGCGGGGGAUAACUACGCGAAAGCGUAGCUAAUACCGCAUACGCCCUUCGGGGGAAAGCGGGGGACCUUCGGGCCUCGCACUAUUAGAGCGGCCGAUAUCGGAUUAGCUAGUUGGUGGGGUAACGGCUCGCAAAGGCGACGAUCCGUAGCUGGUUUGAGAGGACGACCAGCCACACUGGGACUGAGACACGGCCAGACUCCUACGAGGCAGCAGUGGGAAUUUUGGACAAUGGGGAAACCCUGAUCCAGCCAUCCCGCGUGUGCGAUGAAAGCCUUCGGGUUGUAAAGCACUUUUGGCAGGAAAGAAACGGCACGGGAUAAUACCCCGUGCAACUGACGGUACCUGCAGAAUAAGCACCGGCUAACUACGUGCCAGCAGCCGCGGUAAUACGUAGGAGUGCAAGCGUUAAUCGGAAUUACUGGGCGUAAAGCGUGCGCGGGCGGUUCGGAAAGAAGAUGUGAAAUCCCAGAGCUUAACUUUGGAACUACAUUUUUAACUACCGAGCUAGAGUGUGUCAGAGGGAGGUGGAAUUCCGCGUGUAGCAGUGAAAUGCGUAGAUAUGCGGAGGAACACCGAUGGCGAAGGCAGCCUCCUGGGAUAACACUGACGCUCAUGCACGAAAGCGUGGGGAGCAAACAGGAUUAGAUACCCUGGUAGUCCACGCCUAAACGAUGUCAACUAGCUGUUGGGGCCUUCGGGCCUUGGUAGCGCAGCUAACGCGUGAGGUUGACCGCCUGGGGGAGUACGGCCGCAAGAUUAAAACUCGGAAUUGACGGGGACCGCACAAGCGGUGGAUGAUGUGGAUUAAUUCGAUGCAACGCGAAAAACCUUACCUACCCUUGACAUGUCUGGAAUCCCGAAGAGAUUUGAGAGUGCUCGCAAGAGAACCGGAACACAGGUGCUGCAUGGCUGUCGUCAGCUCGUGUCGUGAGAUGUUGGGUUAAGUCCGCAACGAGCGCAACCCUUGUCAUUAGUUGCUACGAGGCACUCUAAUGAGACUGCCGGUGACAAACCGGAGGAAGGUGGGGAUGACGUCAAGUCCUCAUGGCCCUUAUGGGUAGGGCUUCACACGUCAUACAAUGGUCGGGACAGAGGGUCGCCAACUGCGCGAGGGGAGCCAAUCCCAGAAACCCGAUCGUAGUCCGGAUCCCGCAGUCUGCAACUCGACUGCGUGAAGUCGGAAUCGCUAGUAAUCGCGGAUCAGCAUGUCGCGGUGAAUACGUUCCCGGGUCUUGCACACACCGCCCGUCACACCAUGGGAGUGGGUUUUACCAGAAGUAGUUAGCCUAACCGUAAGGAGGGCGAUUACCACGGUAGGAUUCAUGACUGAGGGUGAAGUCGUAACAAGGUAG
rnacentral:rRNA from 1 species